GAAUUUAUGCGAUCUGGCUGCGACAUCUGAUUGAUCGCCAGGGUUGAUUCUGCUGAUCUGACUGGCUAGACAGGUGUCCCCUUCCUCCCUCACCACUCCAUGUGCGUCCCUCCCGAAGCUGCGCACUCGGUCGAAGAGGACGACCUUCCCGAAUAGAGGAGGACCGGUCUUUGGUCAAGGGUAUACGAGUAGCUGUGCUCCUCUGCUAGAACCUCCAAACAAGCUCUCAAGUUCACUGUCAUCUUUACUGUCAUUAUCAGCAGAGACGAGACAACAAAUGAUACAGCUUGACAAGUAUCCAAAAUUGU
rnacentral:snRNA from 1 species